UGGGGAAUUUUGGACAAUGGGGGAAACCCUGAUCCAGCCAUCCCGCGUGUGCGAUGAAGGCCUUCGGGUUGUAAAGCACUUUUGGCAGGAAAGAAACGUCAUGGGUUAAUACCCCGUGAAACUGACGGUACCUGCAGAAUAAGCACCGGCUAACUACGUGCCAGCAGCCGCGGUAAUACGUAGGGUGCAAGCGUUAAUCGGAAUUACUGGGCGUAAAGCGUGCGCAGGCGGUUCGGAAAGAAAGAUGGGAAAUCCCAGAGCUCAACUUUGGAACUGCAUUUUUAACUACCGGGCUAGAGUGUGUCAGAGGGAGGUGGAAUUCCGCGUGUAGCAGUGAAAUGCGUAGAUAUGCGGAGGAACACCGAUGGCGAAGGCAGCCUCCUGGGAUAACACUGACGCUCAUGCACGAAAGCGUGGGGAGCAAACAGG
rnacentral:rRNA from 1 species